rnacentral:rRNA from 1 species
UCAUUCUAGAUACACUUUCCAGUACAUCUACUAUGUUACGACUUAUCUUACCUUAAUAAUAAGAGCGACGGGCGAUGUGUACAUAUUUUAGAGCUAAAAUCAAAUUAUUAAUCUAUAUAAUUUUACAACCAAAUCCACCUUCAAAAAUUUUUUCAUAAUUUUAUCCGUAUAAAUAAAUUUAUUGUAACCCAUUAUUACUUAAAUAUAAGCUACACCUUGAUCUGAUAUAAAUUCUUUUUAAAAUUAUUGAAUAUUAUAAUUCUUAUAAAAUAUUCUGAUAACGACGGUAUAUAAACUGAUAACAAACUUAAGUAAGGUCCAUCGUGGAUUAUCGAUUACAAAACAGGUUCCUCUGGAUAGACUAAAAUACCGCCAAAUUUUUUAAGUUUCAAGAACAUAACUAUUACUACUUAAGUAUU